rnacentral:rRNA from 1 species
ACGAACGCUGGCGGCGUGCUUAACACAUGCAAGUCGAACGGUGAAGCCCAGCUUGCUGGGUGGAUCAGUGGCGAACGGGUGAGUAACACGUGAGCAACCUGCCCCUGACUCUGGGAUAAGCGCUGGAAACGGCGUCUAAUACUGGAUAUGUGACGUGACCGCAUGGUCUGCGUCUGGAAAGAAUUUCGGUUGGGGAUGGGCUCGCGGCCUAUCAGCUUGUUGGUGAGGUAAUGGCUCACCAAGGCGUCGACGGGUAGCCGGCCUGAGAGGGUGAACGGCCACACUGGGACUGAGACACGGCCCAGACUCCUACGGGAGGCAGCAGUGGGGAAU